rnacentral:lncRNA from 1 species
CCCAGGCGGCCCGAGGCACGCUUGCUCCCCCUGCGCGGGAUUAGUAACUUUAUGACUUCGACCCCGAGGCGCGGCAUUUCUGGUACCCCUCGGCGGGCAGCGCGCGGGCGCCCGGGGCUGCUUCUCCUGGCACCUCGGCCCCGCGGAGCUCGCCUGGACGCGCCCGUCGCCAGGCUCGGGUGGGUGACGCUGGCCGCGUGGAUCUCCGCUCGCCGGGUCCUGCGACCCCAGGGUCUUAAUCUCGGGACUUUAGCAAAGACGUGUGUGCGUUCGUUCGUCCUUGUUUAUGGAGCUGUUUCGGUGAAUGCUGGACAGAAACUAAAUAAUUAAAAGCAAACGUCAGGUUUAAGAAGACCGAGACUCAAGAGAAGCUCCAAAUCCAGGAUCGAGAGGACCCGCGUCUCCUCUACUUCUUCCAAAUAAAUUUUACUGAUCUUUCUACAAGGAUUGCGUAUUAAAACAACACAUCCCCUCCACGCCAAGUCAAGGCUGAAUCUUGAGGGUUUUGCUUCACCUCGUGAAAGGACUAGUCCAGAACGUACUUUUAGGGACAGUCUUUUCUAUCUCGAAUUUUUGUAUUUGUAGGGAAUUUUAUGGAGUAGAGAAGCGAAGAGGGAAUAAAGUCUUCAAAUAAAACCCCCUAUCAAGCUCUUUGUACCAUCGGUGGGAAAGCCUGCGAGAGAACCCACAAUCUGUCCUCGCACACGUCGUCCUGGGGCGAGCAGAGGUGGAAGUCUCCUUCCGCGCCUGAC